rnacentral:rRNA from 1 species
GAUGAACGCUGGCGGCGUGCCUAACACAUGCAAGUCGAACGAACGCACAGUAAGAUCUUGCCUUUAAUGUUGGCGGCUGGCGGGCGGGUAACGCGUGCAUCGCCCUCCUCUUUGUCGUGGAUGAUUUCGUAAAGACGCUUACUAUAAUAUAUAAUACUGCUUACCGUUGGAAUCAGAAGUUAAUCGUACCUUUCGCGAUUGUUUUAGCCGAUGUCGGAUUAGCUAGUUGGCUGGGUAAAGGCCCACCAAGGCAACGAUACGUAGCAGGUCUGAGAGGAUGAUCGGCCACACUGGAACUGAGACACGGUCCAGACUCCUACGGGAGGCAGCAGUAGGGAAUAUUAGGCAAUGGGCGAAAGCCUGACGCAGCAAUACCGCGUGAGUGAUGAAGGUCUUCGGGUUGUAAAGCCCUGUUAUUGGGAAAGAAAAUCUGUAGGAGUAAAAGCCGAUAUUUUGACGGUACCUAAAGAAAAAGCACCGGCUAACUACGUG